CCCAUGCAGCAUCAGACAUCACCACUCGUAGAGUCGCGGGAGGAAAACCGUCAGGUCGAGGGCAUCUCAGGCAUCUAUGCCACAUCCAAAUCUUCCCCUCCUUUUCACCAGGUAAGAGACAAUCUUGAAGCUUCUUGACAGAUAUCGUAAGGCUGCCUUGUCGAUGAGUGUAACAGUGAACGUGAGCUUCUGAUGGCAUCUCACAUGAACGACACCUGUAACCCUGCAAUUCGAGCAUGUAUUUAAGUUACCAUAUUAAUAUGUAAGCUGCAGUAGAGAAGUCACACUGUAAAACAUAUAUAAAGUAGAAAAAAACCUACCUGAUCGAACAAAUGAUCUCUCAAGAACCGUCCCAAGGGUUUAUCGAAACUACCAUAGUACUUUAUCCGGAAGAGAUGAGACCUCUCACACACAGUUCCUUUCCACACUGAUCUGGACGAUAGAGAAACCAAGAUGCUUUGGUGAUCAGAGGGUGCCGGAGGAAACUCCUCUUUUUGAGAUUGUGGUUCCUUUGGAGUCUCACUGUUUUGUUGUUGGAUGGCCGUAAACUCUGUACCAUUGUCCUGGUUUUCUACUACAACGCUCUUACUACUUUGAGAACUCUGUGGCACAACGCCUUGCCCUGAUGAAUGUAGGGAACUGUCCAAUAUGUCUGUUGGGUUGCUUUUGUCGGCCAGUGCAGAUCUUUCAGAAAAAUCUGCGUUUCUUCCAGCUAUCAAACGGUCAGGCAAAUUCAAUGGAACAUUAUAGCGUGAAAAUGUGAAACCCGGAGUUCCUUCUCUACCCUGCCAGCCUGAACCAUUGGGUAUCAGAGGGUUUAUGUCCUUCUGGAUGGAUACAUUAGCAGUGGUUGAAAGCAACUCAGAUGCUGGGACACUGUUUGCUCGCUGUGGUUCGGAACCAGUUAGCAUUGUUGGAGACUUUUCAUAUGCAGAGACCAUGAAACCUGGCACAGUAGAUAUCGAACGUUCAAUGCUCAUGGAUUUAUCUGGAAGAGCUACCGUAAUCGGGGAGUUCAAGGGGAGUUCUGGUGAGGCUCCUUCGUCAGCAAGAAACGAUGUCUCCAGUGCCAAAUGAUAAGCUGCGAAAACUCCAUAUUGGACCACAUGCUUCACUUUUUUCAACUCUUCUUCAUUAGCACCCCUAAGCAAAAUCUGAUGAAGAGAGAACACAAAAAAAAAAACAAGAAGUAGUUAUGAAGCAAUCAGAUAUAAGAGAUCUGCUCAGCGUUUUUUUUUUUAAUUCUAAUGGCUAGGAGUGCUUACUGUAAAGCCUAAAGGCCUUGGACAACCCUCAAAAUACAUCAACGUCUUCACUACUUUCUUUCCAGCUUGACCAGCUGAACCAUGUUCUUCAAGAAACCUAUCCACACGAAAAUUCUCACAGUAACCCAGCUUUUGAGAGGAGAGGUGGUCUACUGAAGGAAUUAUCUGAGCACCAGUGCAGCGAGCAAUGCGGUCUAAAAGUGGCCUCUUAAUGUUUAGAACAAGAGAUAUGUCUUUGGCUAGAAGGUACUCUUGCGCAAAUCGAGAAACUGAUUUUUCGACUAGUAGAAUGUUUGGACGUUCAGCGUGAAUCUUUGCAACAGCCAUCUUUAGAUGAUCCUUUUCCUGAUACACCAAAAUAAGUAAAAUGAGUUAAGGCAUAACUAAGCAAACUCCAUAUAUAACCACCAACGAGAAGAAACAAAAUAUUUCACCUGUUGCAACAAAGUAUCAAAACUCGAUAACUGGUUCGAGACCCUCUGAUACUCAAGCCCACCGCCUAGAAUCAAUAGUCGAGCGUUCUCAAUCUUCGCUCUCAUUCUCCUAUGAGCCACGUUUUUCUUGCAAACAACUCCUUUAACCACCAUGCUGUAAUUUGAUACACGGACAAAACUUCAUAUGUAUCCAGAUAAAAUGAAGCACUAUGGACUCAACAUUAGUCUUUUGAGAUUUAAGUUUUGUUGGUUCUGUUACCUAUCAUGUCGGAACCCGGAAGCUAAGCACUUAACUUUGACAUAGCCACCAGGAUCCAUUCCUCCACUUUUGCUCAUAUCAGGCUUCAAUAAGUUAGCCGCCUCCCAAGAAAGAGAGGUGAUGAUCUCUAACCAGCUCUCCUUCCCCUCUUCGUCGCUCACAGGGAUGUUCUCGACUUGCAACAACUGUGCAAGCAAAGCCCUAAAGUGCCCAUCAACCACAUUCUUCAUAGCCUUCUUGUGCUCUUCACUUGUUCGAUCCUCGCUACGGUACUCUCCACUUCCAAAGCUAGCGGAAGGUCGCAAGUAUCCCCACUCACCUGAGGCAUCUCCCUCAUUAUCUUCCUCAUCAUACAAAGGACUUUCUCUCUCAUCUUCUUCAUUUUCCGGGUCAGGUGGGACCCACAAAAGUCCAUUGUUCUCGAAAUCCACCGGUUCCGCCACUUGGUCAUCUGGCGGAGAAGGAGCUUCAGAUUCGUCACGACCAUCAUGCUCGUCUUUCUUCUGGAACUGCUCUGCUCCUUCCCCAAUCAGAGACUCAAGACAAUGGUGAAUGAGUGGAGAGCCGCUUAAACUUUUCUGGUCAGAGGUUUCGCCACUAAGAUGCUUACAGAGCCCAUCACCACCUAUGCUCGUCUCCUCAUAUUCCAUUGGCCCAUAAUAUUGAUUAGCUUGAGGAGAAUGGCUCGUAUCAAUAUCAGUCUGGUAUACACCAUACUCAUCGUACUCAUCAUCACUCCUGAUACAUAAAGGAAAAGAAAAGAAAAAAACAAAUUACCCACAAGACCUACCCUAGAGCUUGUUUGCAGUUCAGAAGAAAAGAGUACCUAUUUGAAGCAAAGCGAGAUGGAUCUUGCACAUCUGUAGCGAUGAAGCUGUUCCUCCUCGAAGUUUCUUUGCCUUUUCUCGUCGUGCCUGCCUCCAUAGACGAUACACCAUGCAAACUGACAUCAGAACCACGUUGAGCCCUUUGGUAAGGACCAACUAACCCCGGCAUGGAGCCAAGAGCGAAGCUACUACUAUUAGCAGUGGUACUAGUCUUCGAGCUAAGAAGACUGGACUCCGAAGGCGAGGUGCUAAGCUCAGGGACAUUCGAAACGUGAGCCCCACCAUCACCUUGCUCCUCCCACUGCCUGAAACAAUAAUUACAAACACGGAUCCUCUCCCACUCCUCCCGAGGAGCUCUCAAGUCACUCCCAGCCAAAGGUAUAGAGUUGGCAGUACACUUGCCGCAGAAAACUCUCCCACAGAGACGGCAGUGGUGCCUGCGGUUGAUGAGAGUAAACUGACAGUCACACUCGUAGCAAACACGACAGCUCUGAUCAGGCAUCCAGAAGUCCCUGGACACGGUAGCUGGCUCUGAUCGCCAGGGGAUCCAGGAUUUGACCAGACCCACAAUCUCGGAGAGUGUCUUGUUACUACUACUAUCUCUUGUAUCCAUCUAAAACCUCCCCAACCAUAAUGCUAUGACGGUCAUGGAAAGUCUAUAGAAAUCCAAAACUUUACCCUAAUCAAGAGAGAUAAACGCUAAAACAAUGCUUUGAUCCGGAUCCAAUUAUCACGAAAUCAAUUGGGGGCGAUCAAAGAAACGUUUUUUUUUUUUUUUUCUUUUCAAAAUCGAGCAAAUUCAUCAUCAUCAGGGAUCAAUCAUCUGCAGAAUUGAAAUCGAAAUUCGAAACUUUUGGAAACCCAAAUGAAGUGAUCGCAUGGGAUUUACCUAAAAGAGAAAGCUUGAGGAGUCACGAGAAGGAGAAGAUCGUCUUGUGUUUUUGAUUGACUGAUAAUUCAUGGCAGGGAUAGCGACAUCGUCAAUAAUCCGCGUCUUACAGUUUUAAAUUCAUUACACCGUCGCGUACCUAAUCUUAACUCCCCACACCAUUAUUAUUACAUUUAAUUUUUUGCCUAAUUUAUGAUUUUUUUUUAUAUAUUCAGGUAUAUGAUUUGGCGCAGAAUAUCUGAUAUAUAUGGACCAAAAUACUUUCGAAAUCCCAUAAUUGCAGUUAUUAAUACUGAAAAAUUACUCAAUGACUCUGGUUUUUUUUUCUUUAAAAGGAAAUUGAGGAUCGUCGUCAACAAACCAAAAAAAAGGAUAUUGAGAAUAUUAGGAAAAAAGUAAAUGAGAAUCAAUAGCACAUACUUUCAAAUGUAUAUUACAAGUAUUGAGAACUCGUCGAGAAAAUAUUUUACAAUAAGAAAAAUAAUUAAAGGGAGAAUAUAAGUUCAAUUUCUUAAAUGAGAAUCUUUGAAAAAUCAUAAAAUUUUAUAAGGUGCAUUUGUCUCUCACAGAUUCACUCAGUUUUUUAUUUAGAAUUAAUUAAAUUAAAUUUAAUACAAUACUAAUAUUUUUAAGAUACUCUUGAAUUAAGUAUAUAAAGAAUAGAGAUAUCUUAACUAGCAAAAAAAAAUUAUAAAGAACUAAAAAAUAAUUUGGAAACUUUAAAUUUUAUAAAAUAGCCUGAGUUGAACCGAAGAAUAGUGCUCCCCAAUGCACUAACCAAUGCACAAAAACCAAUUUCUAUACAAGACAAAAAAGACUGAUAUAUUAUGAGGAUUCAUGUAUCACUCUGCUUGUGUACCGGCUUGAGAGGUUUCUUCAGGUUGAUCAGACCUGGAGUUAUUAGCAAUGACAUUAGGCGGAGACCAUUGAUCAGGAACCAUGAGGAAGUAAGUCGUCAUGGCCUUUCUGAAUCUUCUCUUGUAUUGCUUUGGAGAGAUAACCGUUGGUGCUUCAUUCUUUGGUCCUCCUAAGAUUCCCGUAAAUUUCACCCAAGACUCUAGAUGUUUGUCCCAUGUGUACUGCCUCAAGAAGUCGAUAAUCCCGAGAACUAACUCGUUCUUUUCUUCAUCUACGCCUACUAGCAAGGAGUAAUCCAUCACAUCACCCAACUGCAAACACAAAGACGAUACAAAACGUUUACAAUAGAGUACAGAUGAGUAAAUGAUUUGCAAGAGAGUAAAACUCACUGCAAGAAAAGCAGUAUCGUUCCAGACAGCUCUUUCCAACAAUCGUUUUGCUUUGUUACCAACGAAGAUGGGAGAAGUUGGCAUUGCUUCAAUCAAGUUCUGAUCCAACAAGACCUUGUUGCUCCCACUAGCGUCAGGGUUGUAUCGCGCUCGGGAUGAUCCUUUGAGGUCGUAAAGCCGCUUCACAGUUCUUCCAAAGAGAAGAUUCUCCAUUAUCAGAACAUCCAUCUUUGUUUCUUUCCCGCUCUUAAGUUGCUUUGUUGCGACCUAUAAACACAAAUACAUACUCUCAUCAAGAAUGAAUCAAACCUGACCAGAAAAAAAUCUCUCUCAACUUAGCAAUUAGUACCUGAUAGAUUCCCAAGAUUUUUGCCAAACAAGUUGGACUUUUCGUGCUGAUAGACUCAGAUAAAUAUUUGAAGUAAGCAGGUGCAAACUUGAUGAACGAUUCAAGUUCUGUCUUGGUGACUUGCUUGAUGAUGAAACGAUCGUCAAGGGUUUUAGCAAAGAAGACAUUGCUCUUCCCACCUUGAGCUCCCCAUUUCUUACACCGGCUAAGAGACCUUAUAUACUCAAGUUCCGAAGGGAUACAUAUACCUCUCAAGGCCUCAAACCGUUUUGCAUAGUAGCAAGUAACCGUGUACUUCACUUUUCCAAGAGUGCCGUCUUCUCCGUAUGAGACACGAGCAUGUAAAGCUUUUGUAUACGAGAGCGGGUCCAGACUGCGAGAUGAGGACAUUGAAAGUAUACUCUCAUCCACCGAACUUGUGCUUCUGCUAGGAUCAAAAAUGGUGUCAUCAACUGGGCGAGGGAUGUUCAGUUCAGAAGUAUACGAAACUAGAGAUUCCCCUUCAAGAGAUAUUUGGCGUUGAUACUCAGGUGACGUCAAGGCGUAUGCGAUCAUACUUGUGGGUUCAUCAUCAUACACCGGAACAACGAUAUCAUUGAUGCCUACGGGAAGAAGUAGCCUUGGUCCACCUUGAAGCUCUGCCUCUCUAAAAGAUGAAAUAUAGACAGGGCUAUGCUCUCCAAAUGUAUCGAGCUUCUGAGAGCUAAGCAAAAAAUUCUUGUUGAUGGAGCGGUAGAAAUUGAGGAAUGGCACACCUAACCAGCUUACAGAAUCUUCUGAGCUCUCAUAAUCUUUACUCGGUAGAGCAGGUGAAACUGGAUACGCCACCUUGAAUUCGUUUUGCUGUUCUGGGAGAUCUAUUGGAGGGAAAGUUGAAGAGUUUGAAGGAGGAAGCAAGAUCUUAGUAUUGGUUGGAAUCUCCCCUGAUGUCUGACGCUCGCCUAUCCAUGCUGCAUCAAGAGUAGCUGAUAGAUUUUUCAUAACUAUCUCGCCAUCUGACUGUGUCCUGCGAACAUCGAGUUUACUUUCCAGAGGUUCAGAACUAUCAGGUAAGGUCUUGCUGGGAGAGACUUCUCCACCAUCUUCCUUUUCCGGAUUCAUAUCUAAAUUCGUAUCCGCUUCCUUCUGAACCUUAGUGUCAUCAGUAGAACCACCAUCAGGAUUCUGAUCAACCUCUGAGCCAGAAAGAAGAGAGUUAGUCCCAGCAUUCAUCUCGGGGAGGGUCUGGCUCUUAGCCAAGGGUACUUUCUCAUUUUCAUCACUACACUCAAUCUUAGAUAAACUUGAUGCAUUAAUCAAGCGGUGAUCCCACAUAUAUGACUGAAAAAUCAGCUGCCUGCGAAGCCGGUACAGCUCAAGAAUAUCCACUUGAGGUUGGCCUUCCUUCACCUCCCUGUGCAACAUCAUCUUUUGAAUAUUAUCCUGAAAGAAAUGUCAGAACGUUACAAAACAAAACCUUUUGUCUUAAAAAUAAUAAUUGUAGUAUAUUGGUUUUAAGAAAACUCUUUAAUACAUAAUUUAUUACCUCGAACUCUGCUUUCUCUCUUUGCAGCAAUUCUUCGAGUUCACCAAUUCGACGCCUAAAACCUUUUGCUGCAAUUUGACUAAUAGCAUUCAAUACUUCAGAAAACAGAAGCUCGGCUCUCUCUACCACCUGAAUAAUAAAAGGGAAGACAAGUCAGUUAAAAUGUGUGAGAUUUCAAAACCGCAUCCCAGUAAAAUCACAGAUAUUUAACCUCAUCUGUCUCUCUCUGUAUCCAGUCCUGAUUAUCAUAGUUGAAACUAAGAACUGAUGGUGGAAGGUAGACAGAAUUAACAUCUAUAGUAGCGUAACGGAAGCAAGCAACCAUGUUCCCGAAUCUGCAUGGGUACAACUUGUUAGAGCAAAGGAAUACAGAAUUUUUCAGACAUGUUUCACCAUUUUGAAAGUACCCGUAGAAACGAAGACAGUCUCUAUGGAGAGAGUGGCCACAACAUGCUACUCUACUGGCAGCUGCGUGAUUUGAGAAACUGAGCUCCAGAAACUUCCCAAAGGAUAAUCCCCAUGCAGCAUCAGACAUCACCACUCGUAGAGUCGCGGGAGGAAAACCGUCAGGUCGAGGGCAUCUCAGGCAUCUAUGCCACAUCCAAAUCUUCCCCUCCUUUUCACCAGGUAAGAGACAAUCUUGAAGCUUCUUGACAGAUAUCGUAAGGCUGCCUUGUCGAUGAGUGUAACAGUGAACGUGAGCUUCUGAUGGCAUCUCACAUGAACGACACCUGUAACCCUG
rnacentral:lncRNA from 1 species